CAAAAACUUGGACAAAAUGGGAUUUCAGCCCUAAAUGGCUCCCUGGCCCUUGGCUGGGAGAGGGUGGGCUGCAGAGCAGCCUGGGGCUGUUUGAGCAUCAGAACAAGAGCCGGACCUGCUCCCAUUGCCCAGCACAGCCCCUUCCUGCAGAGCAGAGCCGGGACGGAUGGACGGACGGACAGACGGACAACGGAGGGAGCGACGAGCAGAGCUGAGCGGUGGGUUUUGGCACUAAUGAGGAAAAACUGCAAUAAUCCAUGGGAAAUCAGAGGAGUUGGAGUCCUUCUGGCUCUUGCCGCUCCUUCUAAAAUGGAUUGAGGUCAACGGGUGCCUUCGAUAGUCCCAAAUCCGCCGUCAAUGGGUGCGUGUGUCAGACACCAUGGACAGAGCCCAAAUCCACCCCCAGCUCGGCUCAGGACCCGGUGCUGCUCCAUCCUCACCUUGGAGCCCGGCUGGGGUCACCAGUUCUUUUAUUUUAUUUUAUUUUUUUUUCUUUAAAAGAAGCCAAUAUACAGAAUACAAAGCACAAUAUUUACAACCGUACGGUCAACAGGUUCCACACCGACCAGUAGUCUGUUUUGAUGUGUAUAUAAAAAAAAACCUCUUACAGUGGCCUAAAGAGGGACUGACGAGAAGUGACACCGCAUGGGAAGAGAUUCAUUCAUUGACACCCUCCACUCCGACACCUUAAAUAAUAAAUAAUUGUGGGUUUUUUUUGGCAGAACUGAAGCUACGUACACUUGAGCAAGGGCUAAAUUGCAUUUCUUUUGGUGCAAGGAGGAGCGUUUGGUGAUUGAGCUUUUCAAUCAUCUUCAGCUCUUUCUUAAUAACAAAUAGAUCUUUGGGGUUUCCAACGAGAGCUAUGGGAGGAGCGUCAUUUCAGGCAGCGAACCCCACAGUGUUGGGUUUGUGGCCCAAUGGGAUGGGGAGCUCUACCAUGGAAAUGGUGCUGUCAGCUACAUAGCCCUCAAAGAACCCCAGCGUGGUGGGUUUUUGAAGCAUUACCUCCUCUCCAGAGAACCCAACCCAGAACUGGGUGAUCUUGGAGGUCCCUUCCAACCCAACCAUUCUGUGGUCCUAUGGAAUUAGAUAGGAGGGAAUCAUCAUUUCCAGAAGCAUCAAGUACCCAUUUCUGCCAACACAAUUUGUUGCUUCUGCAAAAGAGAAGCUUGGAACGGCUCCCACGAACGCGGAAGGGUCUUAAGACACAGAACUAUACACAAAAACAGACAACAAGAAAUAAUCAAGUGUUUCCUCACUACUCUGCCAAAGACUUAGGGUCAAGCCUCCAGCAUCCCCCUCUCCACUAAUGGGUGGGGAGGGGCUGAAUUAAGAAUUUGGCAGGCAGCAUGUCUAGUUCACCCCUACCACCAGCAUCAUUAACACCAGGAUACAGUGCAGCAAUCUCUUGUUUAAAACUCAAACUGAUAAAGUUGCCUUGUAAUAAAAGCUUAAAAUCGAGCACUUUGGGUGACGCAUCGCUAAAACCUGCGUGCUCCCCCCGCAACCCAAGUCCUGGAGCAGUGCAAAAGAAUCAAAACCUAAAAAUCCUGAAGCAAAAUGUGGAAAAUCCUCAUUGGGGUGUCAUUACACCACGGAAGCAUGGCAUGGAAAAGCCUGGUCAACCCCUUCGGUCAACCAGAGCCCAACUGUGAUUUAGCGUUGACCACAGCAUUAUAAUUGCUUUAAAUAUCACCUCUAAACUAAAGCACUCACAAACGUGCAACACAGCUGGAGACUUCCCCGUACUGCAGUUCCAGCACAAACAUUCUCCCAGCUUUUCUCAGAGCCAAAGGAAACACGAGCAAAGAGCUGCUCCACGUAAGGCUGUGCAUGCCCAGCCGUCGCCGUUCUUGGACCAUGACCUCAGCUUGUGUUUUUGCUGGCAGCAAUGGUGAUGGAAAAACACCUCGUCUUGGGUAGAAAGAGCUUUAGAUCUACAGCCAGGCACUGUUUAGAUCUACUCUGUUUCAUUAAUUCCCAUUUACACUGGCGUAGACCAACACAACACAUCUUCCAAGCAGGUAUGACACAAAGCCAAGGUUGGGGCAGUACUAAUGGGCUGAGAGCAGCAAUAAUUCUGCAGGUUGAGGCUGUCAGCCUGCCUGUCUUCCCUAUCUCUGAGGAAGCGAUGGGGAAUGCAUCACAGCCGUACCCAUCCCAUUGUUCCACAUCAUCACUUGAAAACAGUCAGAGAUUUCGGAGUCCCAUCAAAGCAGAAGACACUUCACAGGGGAACAGUUGCAUUUGCCAACAGAACUCUGUUUGCACUUUAAAAACCUCUAAUAAAAAUAGAAUAUAUACUGUGUGGGGUUUUUUUUCAUAUAAAUAAUUACAUAUUUAGCUUAGUUGAAUUUCAUUACACCCCCCACCCCCCCAUACUUUUUAUUUUAAUACAUUUGUCUUUACGUUGUCUGAACUAAUACAGUAAUCACUACAUCUUUGAAAAAGUGUUUGUAUCACAUUAGUCUUUGGACAUUUCUGAACGACAUGCAUCCACAAAAGCAACCGCCAUUGUUUACUGAAAACAGUAAUUUUUUUUUGUACAAACCCAUUUUAGGAAUUGGAUAUAUUAUUACACCGCCAACAAGCAAAAAAAUUUGCUUCCUUGAAACCCCCUUUUAAAAAAUGAGAAACAAUGAGGAGGAUUUUCUGAUUAUCAGUCUAAAAAAGUGUCAAUAUGACACCGCAUUAUGAGUAGUAAACAAAAAUAAAGUAUUUACAAGCUUUACAAAGGAAAGGGAAAAAAAAAGAAAGAGGUCAUCAAAAUCAUUUUCCAGCAUUUUCACCAUUAUUUUUUUUUUUUCUGGCAAGCUUUUGAUCUGGUUGCUACAGAAUGGUUCAACACAAACAGAACAGGGCCACCGUCGCAUCGCUUGACGCUAAGCCAACCAAAGACCUCCUAGGGAAACUAUCAAGGACCAACCUCGGUCACAUCCAAAAGGUUGACCCACUGAGACCUACAUGAAAAUAAAACCCCAAUCCCAAGUAUGAAAACAUCCUUUUUUUUUUUUCUUCCUAAAAAAUGGAUUACACGUGGUUAUAAGAAAGACACCAACAAGCAUGGUAACUUACCAUCACGCACAUCACCAUCGUUCACGUUAUUUCUAUACUGUCUACUACAGACCCACAUCCCUUACACUUACCAAAAAAUACAACCCUAUGACAGAUGCUCCUCAUAAUUAUGGCUACGAGAUAAGCUGUGGGUUACAGCUCAAUUUCUGCUUCCUCACUUGGCUCCCACUGUCAAACUGAGGAUAUUCUUUCCCACCUCACCAUGACAGCUACUAGUUUCAAGACCAACUCAGCCUUUUUCUCACUACGUCACUGAGUUUUAAAAAAUGAUAAUUAAAAAAACCAAAACACAAACAGCAGCUAAGCCGGACGGUCAUUUAAAUUGCUCAGUUUCUCCAGUACCAAAGAACAUCUCAUAACUUGAGGACAGCCACACGACAGCCUCCGACGAGGCUGACUCACUGUGCAAGGAGAUUGCUUAAUGCCUCCACCAAAGUCACUAAAGCAUUACAGACAUUCAGCUUUGGCAGACGGUUUCUCAGCCUCGUGAGAAACGACAUAUUUAGCAGCUGAAGUUCACACAGGCUCAAAAACCCUAACAGUACUUUAUUGAAAGCAUGCAGUCACAAAAAUAUCCCAUCUGGUAUUUCUUG
ensembl:lncRNA